rnacentral:rRNA from 1 species
UACGUAGGGGGCAAGCGUUGUCCGGAUUUAUUGGGCGUAAAGAGCGUGUAGGCGGCCAGAUAGGUCCGUUGUGAAAACUCGAGGCUCAACCUCGAGACGCCGAUGGAAACCAUUUGGCUAGGGUCCGGAAGAGGAGAGUGGAAUUCCUGGUGUAGCGGUGAAAUGCGCAGAUAUCAGGAAGAACACCCGUGGCUAAGGCGGCUCUCUAGUACGGUACUGACGCUGAGACGCGAAAGCGUGGGGAGCGAACAGG